rnacentral:rRNA from 1 species
AGUGAACGCUGGCGGUAGGCCUAACACAUGCAAGUCGAACGGCAGCACAGUAAGAGCUUGCUCUUACGGGUGGCGAGUGGCGGACGGGUGAGGAAUACAUCGGAAUCUACUUUUUCGUGGGGGAUAACGUAGGGAAACUUACGCUAAUACCGCAUACGACCUACGGGUGAAAGCAGGGGAUCUUCGGACCUUGCGCGAUUGAAUGAGCCGAUGUCGGAUUAGCUAGUUGGCGGGGUAAAGGCCCACCAAGGCGACGAUCCGUAGCUGGUCUGAGAGGAUGAGCAGCGACACGGGAACUGAGACACGGUACAGACGACUACGGGAGGCAGCAGUGGGGAAGAGUGGAGAAUGGGCGCAAGCCUGAUACAGCCAUACCGCGUGGGUGAAGAAGGCCUUCGGGUGGUAAAGCCGUUUUGUUGGGAAAGAAAAGCAGCAGGUUAAUACCACGCUGGCCUGACGGUACCCAAAGAAUAAGCACCGGCUAACUUCGUG